UACGGAGGGUGCAAGCGUUGUCCGGAUUUAUUGGGUUUAAAGGGUGCGUAGGCGGCUGAUUAAGUCAGUGGUGAAAGCCGAUAGCUCAACUAUCGAACUGCCAUUGAUACUGAUCAGCUUGAGUAUAGAUGAGGUAGGCGGAAUUUAUGGUGUAGCGGUGAAAUGCAUAGAUACCAUAAAGAACUCCAAUAGCGAAGGCAGCUUACUAAACUAUAACUGACGCUGAGGCACGAAAGCAUGGGGAGCAAACAGG
rnacentral:misc_RNA from 1 species